rnacentral:rRNA from 1 species
CACAGCGAUGUGAUGCCAAUCCCUAAAGCCCUCUCAGUUCGGAUCGAAGUCUGCAACCCGACUUCGUGAAGCUGGAUUCGCUAGUAAUCGCGCAUCAGCCACGGCGCGGUGAAUACGUUCCCGGGCCUUGUACACACCGCCCGUCAAGCCAUGGGAGCCGGGGGGUACCUGAAGUACGUAACCGCAAGGAGCGUCCUAGGGUAAAACUGGUGACUGGGGCUAAGUCGUAACAAGGUAAC